rnacentral:rRNA from 1 species
UACGGAGGGUGCGAGCGUUACUCGGAAUCACUGGGCGUAAAGGGCGCGUAGGCGGCCGGGCAAGUCUGGUGUGAAAGCCCAGGGCUCAACCCUGGAAGGGCACUGGAAACUGUCUGGCUUGAGUUCCGGAGAGGAGGGGGGAAUUCCUGGUGUAGCAGUGAAAUGCGUAGAGAUCAGGAGGAACAUCGAUGGCGAAGGCAGCCCCCUGGACAAAGACUGACGCUCAGGCACGAAAGCGUGGGGAGCAAACAGG